rnacentral:rRNA from 1 species
CAAGCGGAGGAAAAGAAACUAACAAGGAUUCCCCUAGUAACUGCGAGUGAAGCGGGAAAAGCUCAAAUUUAAAAUCUGGCGGUCUCUGGCCGUCCGAGUUGUAAUCUAGAGAAGUAAUGCCCGUGCUGGACCGUGUAUAAGUCUCCUGGGAUGGAGCGUCAUAGAGGGUGAGAAUCCCGUCUUUGACACGGACUACCAGUGCAUUGUGGUAUGCUCUCAAAGAGUCGAGUUGUUUGGGAAUGCAGCUCAAAAUGGGUGGUAAAUUCCAUCUAAAGCUAAAUAUUGGCGAGAGACCGAUAGCGAACAAGUACCGUGAGGGAAAGAUGAAAAGAACUUUGGAAAGAGAGUUAAACAGUACGUGAAAUUGCUGAAAGGGAAACGCUUGAAGUCAGUCACGUUGGCCGGGGAUCAGCCUUGCUUUUGCAUGGUGUACUUUCUGGUUGACGGGUCAGCAUCAAUUUUGACCGCUGGAAAAAGACCUGGGGAAUGUGGCAGCUUCGGCUGUGUUAUAGCCCUUAGUCGCAUACAGUGGUUGGGAUUGAGGAACUCAGCACGCCGCAAGGCCGGGUUUCGACCACGUUCGUGCUUAGGAUGCUGGCAUAAUGGCUUUAAGCGACCCGUCUUGAAACACGGACCAAGGAGUCUAACAUGCCUGCGAGUAUUUGGGUGGAAAACCCAAGUGCGUAAUGAAAGUGAAAGUUGAGAUCCCUGUCGUGGGGAGCAUCGACGCCCGGACCAGAACUUUUGGGACGGAUCCGCGGUGGAGCAUGUAUGUUGGGACCCGAAAGAUGGUGAACUAUGCCUGAAUAGGGUGAAGCCAGAGGAAACUCUGGUGGAGGCUCGUAGCGAUUCUGACGUGCAAAUCGAUCGUCAAAUUUGGGUAUAGGGGCGAAAGACUAAUCGAACCAUCUAGUAGCUGG